rnacentral:lncRNA from 1 species
CUGCUGUGGACUGGGCAUCUUGCCAAUAUUUCCAUUCACUGUUAUUUUAUGUGAUCUUCGUAUCAGCCUUUUAAGGGGGCAGUGCAAUGGGGAGAUAUGGCAUUCGGCAAGGAACAAUGGUUAAAAAUUAGACAUGAUGAACUUAAUGGAAACACGGAUGGCAGCAGCUAUACAUUGUUCAGUGCAGGUAGAACAAUGGGAUAAUCGAGUUGCAUGAGCUGAAGCUAUUAUAGUAAGCUUGGGCGAGCUGUUCAGUUCUUUUUGGUAGGUAAUCUUUGUAAUGUUCAUGAGGAUUCCCAGUGUUAUUUUGUAUGCCCCCUGAAAAUGCAAAUGUAAUCUUGAGUGUAGAAUUUAAGAACCAUUUAGAUGUGUGCAUUUUUUC